AUGGCAUCUCUCUCUUCCUCAAGGAACUCCUCCUGGACACCAAAGCAGAACAAAUUAUUUGAGAAGGCUCUGGCUGUGUAUGACAAGGACACACAAGACCGCUGGCAUAAUGUGGCCAAGGCUGUGGGUGGAAAAUCUGUAGAGGAAGUAAAGAGGCACUAUGAGAUUCUGGUGCAGGAUCUCAUGCAUAUAGAAUCUGGCCAAGUCCCAAUACCCAAUUAUAAGGGCACUGGAAGCAGCGGCAGCAGAGGAAUUGGUGAUGAGCAGAGGUAAGAAUAAUGUUUUCAUGUUUAGUAAUUAUCUUUACUUUCUGAACAUUCAAAGUUAAUCCAUGCUGUCUUUUCUUCCUUCAGUGGUAUGUAGGACAUCCUAGUUUAGAAAGUGUGUUGGGGGACUCUUCACGGUCACAUUGUCAUCUACCAAGUUAUCAAUCAGUAAGGUCCAAGACUUAUAAAUAAAUAAAUUAAUUAGGAACCCAGAAGAGAUGUCCAAGUAUGAAUCUCUUUUACAAACUUAUAUGAAUAUUAGAGACAGGUACAAUUGCAUGUAGUGAUGGAAAUGGCAAAAAAGGCAAAAAAUGGCAAUGCAUGAAAAGCUUAAAACCAAUGGUAUGGUACUGGUAGGAGCUGCUAAAAAGCCAAAGAAGAGCAGAAUAUUAAGUUAAAUUAUAGCACUAUUAGCUGAAAUAUCUAAACGGCUGGUAACAAGUCCCACCGUAUCCUUUCCAUAAUAUCAUUAACCAGCUUUUCCUCUUUUGGGAUCGACAGUUCUAAAUAAAGACACUGACUUGAGUCUCCUCCCCAAUAAAUUUUAUAUGUUUUCUCUAAUUCUUUUGUAUAUCUAUCCACUAUCCCAUACUAUAUUCAACUUCAAUUCCUAAGAAAAAGCCCACAUGGAAUCUAAUCCUUACUUGUUUUGGAUCUCAUAUGCACAUGGUCCUAUGAUUAAAGUAAUUGAAUAUAGUCACCUGGUUCUUCCUAAAUGUAGAUGAGGAUCAUUGUGUGACGCCGAACUCUUGUUUUUAAUUACUUAUCACAUUCUUUCAUUAAUCCCAAGGGCUAGCUCGCAGUCGACAGUGACUGUUGGAUCUAGCUAAACCUCUUGGCAGCUUUUGUAGUUCAUCAUAUAUUUAUAAUUUUAUAUCUCUCACACUCACACACUGCAGCAACCAAUGUAUUACGUCGGCAGAUAUUUUUAAAAAUAGGGCAUCUUCCUUGAAAACGAAGCUCCCACCAUAAAGAGGCUAAUUAUGUCUAAAUGGGUGAGAUUAGCAAGAUAAUGGUGUCUUGGGAUAAUCUAAUUGACCAGUUCAAACUUAAAAGAUGCUAAUUGUUGCAAAAGCAACUACGACUUUCAUAUUAUCUACACGAUUUUCUAUGCUUACUUGGUAAUUGGGAAUUUUCUAAAUUUCUAAUGCUAAUUCCUUGUAAUCCAUUCAGGCUUAUGAAAAACCUAAAGAUCUGA
rnacentral:lncRNA from 1 species